rnacentral:rRNA from 1 species
CAGUCGCCGCGGUAACACGAAGGGGGCUAGCGUUGUUCGGAUUUACUGGGCGUAAAGCGCACGUAGGCGGAUCGAUCAGUCAGGGGUGAAAUCCUGGAGCUCAACUCCAGAACUGCCUUUGAUACUGAAGAUCUUGAGUUCGGGAGAGGUGAGUGGAACUGCGAGUGUAGAGGUGAAAUUCGUAGAUAUUCGCAGGAACACCAGUGGCGAAGGCGGCUAACUGGUCCAUAACUGACGCUGAGGUGCGAAAGCGUGGGGAGCAAACAGGAUUAGAUACCCGAGUAGUCCCUGUCUCUUAUAC